rnacentral:lncRNA from 1 species
UCUGAUAUUUACAGAUGUUGAGGUAUAGAAUAAGAGUCUUAGACUCAGUAUUUACCCGAUAAAGCUGUCGGUACGCCGACAAAUGUCAGACCUUAUAAAAGAAAGAAAAGACUACUGUAAGAGCAUGGAUGAGAUAUUUGAAAAAUGUAUAAAAAUAUUUCAAGUAUAGAAUAGGAACUAAAAGUAUGAUCACUGUGAUUAUGUGAUUAGACUAUGUGCUGACUGUAAUAGACAGUACUAUGUGUUAAGAUAUAUUGUUCUAAUCGAACGAAUGAUCUGAUUAUUGAUAGGUUGUGAUAAAGAGAUAAAACCUAAGUUGAGAUUUGUAAUCAGCGAAUCAGGCAAGUAUCCUACCUUUGCAUUUCCUUUAUGCAAUGGACAUGAGUAAGAAGUUUCAGAAUUAUUCUAUUCCUGUACAGAUUAUGUACGCUUUGAUUAUCAACAUGUUAGCUCAGAUAUAUAUUCUGUUAAGUUGAUUUCUAAAUGGUUAUACAAGUGUCCCCACUUGGAUAAUCAUGGCAUUUAUUCACAUGUUGAUAUACCUUUGUCAAUUACCCGUAUACAUAUAUGUUGAAUUACAUAUUAUUGUUGAGCAAGAUUAAAAACCUUCGGGUUUGGAACCAGGCAUGUAUGAACAUCCCUAUAUGGGAAGAUUUUUGCGCCCAAGGCGGAUAGAGUGAGCGAUGAAUUUCGUUCAAGUUAUGUAGUAUUGAUCAAUACAGGGUACAACGGGGCUGAUCACCCUCCGUGCCCGUAAGUUAUGACGGUUUGAGGAUAGAAUUCCGCUAAACCUUUUCGAAAAUGAAAAGAAUGUUCAUAGUAUGUUUCUUAAACCCUAUUCAAGGGUAGAGCCAGAGCCAAAUUUAAAGAAUUUGAAAGAGAGUUGUUAUGUGAAUUUUUUAUCAGUACAGAUUACUUCACAACUUUCAAUUCGUUGUAGAAGUGUUAUGUAAAGAGAAUACUUAUAUUCUUUCAGCUUAUAUAUAAUUGCUAUUACUUGCUGGGCACUUAAAUGCUCAUCCUUGCUUAAAUUAAAUGUUUUCAGUUAUGUAUGAGCAACCUGAAGGCUCAGGCACGAACAAAGGAAAAGGAAAGCUGAUCGAAUAAGUGUGUAUUAUGAGUUAAUGGUUAUAGUUGUAUUGGUAUCUAUUCAAGUAUUGUAAGGAAUGUAUUUGAAGGUCACGUACCUGGGGAAGUAAACUUUGAUGUAUGUAAAUUAAGUUCGAAUGUAUUAUUAUUUAGUAUUAUUCAGCUUAAAGAAAUGGUAUCGUGGAGAACCGAGUUCGGGUUUCAAGUAUCCGGAUUUGGGGUCGCCACAGUUAUAUCAGCAAAGGAUCGCCAGAUCCUACAACAAAAAAGUUCGGCUACGGCGGUUUAAACAACAUGACUUUGUUUUGAAGAAAAUUCAUGACAACCAAGAUCAGGCUAAAGGAAAAUUCGCUCCUAACUGGGAAGGCCUGUUUAUUGUCAAAGAAGUAUUGAUAGGAGGCGCUCUCAGAUUGCAGGAAAUGGACGAUGAUGAAUUUCUGCAACUCAUCAACUCAGACACCGUGAAACGGUAUUAUGUCUGAAGUAACCAGCAAACACCCUGGUACAUCAUCAUCAGGUCACCAGUCAUUCCGGUUCUUUAACCCUUUACCACAUACAACUUAUCUACACUUUGCCCCUCAGGGAAACGUACUCUUCAAGCCAAUAGCCUGGCUUUCUCCUCUGCAUUCCUACAACUUAGGUCAUCCCACCGUGGAUUGAACCUCUUGCGUUUGUAGUUUGGCUACCCAUAUCUAGGAUCAAACUUCUCAUACCUGCAUUUUAUCCUCAACGUAGGAUUAAACUUUCUCCUCCCCGCACUCUGACCUGCACAUGGGAUUACGCUUUUCUUCUCGCCUUGAGGGGCGAACUACGUCGACCUGAUCUCCUCUUCAAUAGGAGUAUGUAGGCAACCAUUUCAUAUGGCCCGGUCACAAUAAAACAAAAACAACAAAAACAACAAAAACAUUUCUACCCUCUUCUCCUUACAAAAACAAAAACAACCAAAAACAUUCCUAAACCAUGUUAGCCAUAUACAGCGUUGAACCUCUUACACCAGGUUCGAACUACGCAGACCUGAUCUCCUCUUCAAUAGGAGUACGUAGGCAGCCAUUCAUAGUGCGGUCUCACCCCCUACAAAAACACAAACCAUUGUCAACUGGUACUGGGAUCUUUCAAUCCAUUACAUUUCAUUGGCUUCAAACCAAAGGGAUGGAAUUACCUAAACUCCUCCCAAAUAGGAGAUUCAGCGACCAUCUAAGUUGCGGUCAUACCUUGAAGAGCAACACCAAUCCAUAAGAGAUGGAAUUAACUAGGCUUUUCCUAAAUAGAAGUACUGGCGACCAUCUGUGGUGCGGUCAAUCUUAGAGAGGAAAGCCACACUCAUCUCCAUAUUUCCAUUCAGAAACAAGUCCCAAGACACCAAAGAUGGAAGGGAUAAACAUAGAUCAAUGAUUCAUUCUGAACUAUCCAGAGACAACUCAAUCUCCAUCCAACUAGGAGGAAUUCAGAAUACUUCAAGAUCACAAGCCCUGAAGCAGCAGGCAAAAUAUCAAACAAAUAGCAAGGCAUAUCUAAAAGGGAAGUGAUCCAAAAAUAUAUUUCCCUGUCAUAUAUAUAAUGUUGUUUGAUAUAUAUACAAUGUAAACUGUACAUGACAAAAUGACUAAGCUAGUCUGUGCAGGUAAAUACAAGCUCCUCUACAAGUCCGGGUAUAUGCGAGCUAACAAUCCCAACAUGGCGUCCCUCUCAGAAGACGGAGGCGAAGCUAUGGUCUCAUGUAUAAGAAUAUCCAGACGACCCAAAAGAUAUGUAGCCAUCUACAUGGUGACCAUAUGAUCAUCAAUAUAUGCACUCAUCUCUGCGAUCAUGCCAGUGGUAAGGGACCUCACUGCAGUACUAUCUGUGAUGGCUACAUCCCGGGCAGAUAUGGCACUAUCCCGCUCGACUAUCACUGCAUCUCUGGCUGCUAUAGCCUCAUCCCGCUCAACAACAGCGGCAUCUCUGCGAUCUAAUGCCUCGUCUCUCUCUAAUAGAGCUGCGUCUCUCCCAGCAAGGGCAGUCAACAUCAUAGAUCGAGCAUGAUCUCUCUCAAAGGUCAUCAUAUGAAGACUCUGCUCUAAGUACUGUGCCGAGUGCUAAAUCACAAAAGUACUGGUACUAGGAGAAUCCGGAAGAAAUGCUGGCAACCUAACAGUGGGCUCCUCCUCGAUGUAGGUAUCAAUGUCCUCCAUGGGCUCUACAUCGUCUGAUUCACUAUCCGGUACUGCAGAUACUGUUGCAGCCGAUAAAAUCUCUGUCUCUAUCCAUGCGGAAUACUCUGCAGAACACCCGGGAUGACUGACAAAAAAAGUAGCUAUCUCACGCUGAUCCCAGCAAGCAUACACACGGGAUUUGCCCUCUACUAAGAGAUAUCGAGAAACUGAACGCUGACAUAUCGCCCCAUUAAAAGGAUAGAAAUCCUGGAACUGGUCGAACUGCGACAUCACGACAAGUGGGUGAUAAGUAGUCACACCCCUCAAUCCAGCCAAAGGGAGAAAAUCCAUGCCCAGAGCGUGAGUAAUGAAGUUGUAUGGUGAGCAAAGCCCUGAGCACGACAAUAUGCUGAAUGGAUCUCUGAUAUCUACCAAAAAUAUAGAUCAGGACUGAGCAUCUAUACACUCUGAUGGCUGAAAGGAGUAUGACAUGGCCACAUCAUGGGAGAAGCAAUACCCAUGUCGUCUAAGGGUACCAACCGGUCUCAAGUGUGACAUAAACCACACGUACAAUAUGACCGAACUCCCAGUGAACACUCCUGUAGGAUACGUGCAACAAUAGGAUGUCGACCACAGGGUCUCUACUACGAUAAUAGGUACAAUGGUGCGACCCUCUCUAAGAGCUCUCACAGCCAUAAUGACACCAAUGUCUAUCUCGUCCAUAUAUCGUGGCAUAUAGACAUACGACAGUACGCACAGCAACAGUACGUCAACCGUGGCCAAACGCCAAUGGUCCUCCGGUGCGGUGAAAUCCCCAGAAUAUCAUGAGUAGCUAUCCUCUGAGCCAAAUCUGUCAUACAGAAAAUGCUGGGAGAUCACAUGGCUAGAUGUCAGCUCGUCCUGCACUACUCUACGCCUCAAUCCUGUGAGAGUCAUGAAUCGUCUACUCAUGUCUCCCAAAGCUAGAUGCACGCAAGGUCUGUCUAAAGGCAGCAUCGUCAAACGUGCAUACUCCUCCAGAGUAGGAGUCAACUCAUGGGUGCUAAAACGGAAUACCUGCCUAUCAGGUAGCCAAUGCUGUAGCAUCCCAUCUACAAAUCCUGUAGGAACCUGAAAAGGCAAUAAAGUCAUGGUAUGCUGUAGCAACUGAUCUACGAUCACCCUAUCUGGUGGUGUCAUGCUAUCGUACCACGAUCGCAUACCCAAUGCCACCAAUGAUGGUGGGGUAUGAUCUAUACGACUAACUGUCGAAGAAGACAUCUUUGCCGGCCGUGUCAUAAGACCAUCCAGGGGUCAAUCCCGAAUAUCUCUGGACAUACAUACAUAUGCAUAACAUGAUACAUGCAUAACAGAUAAUGGAUGACAAUAUGAUAUAGGGAAUGAAAAACGGUGCAUACAUUCCUAAAUAUAUCAUCAUCUAAUACAUCAGCUCUGUACAGCUACAAAUACAGAGAAAUGGGGCACAACUGCCCUACUACUAGCAGAGGCCUAUCAAAAGAUAUAGCGAGAAUGGGGAACAACCACCCAAUAUCUAACAGAGGCCUAUCAAAAGAUAUAACGGGAAUAUACAUCAGAAGAAGACCAGGGUCUCGAUGUCCACGUCCUCAAUCCUGUCCACCUGAUGUAACUUUUCCUGAGUCACUGGAUCUCUAUCAACAUAGAUGUCAGGCCUAUAUAGAGGAGGAUCUACGCCGGCAAAACCAAAUGGGUCAUAUGAGGGGCCACCACCUGAGCUGGAAGGAACAAAUGACUCUGCCUCUGCUGGAUCUCUGCCUAAAUGCCGAAUAAAUAAAUGUGCCUGGUCCAACUGUCGAGUCAAACUAUCAAUCUGGGUCAUAUGAGUCGGAGCUCGGACACAAGCUACCUAAUCCAUCAUCAUCAAAGAUCUUGGAACCAUGUCCCCCAUAAACUGUGUGGCGCGGGACUGUGCUCCAAUAGUGCGGAGGAACCACCAACGCUGGAACGUCUCCUGAGUACAUGGGCAUUCUGAUAAUGCAAAGUCGUGAACUCCCAACAAUGGGAUAUGAAUGACGGGUGACUGUGAUAUAGGCCAAUGACGCCUGGCAGGAGGCAAGAUCGGUACACGGAUCUCCCCUGUGGUGCUCCUAAUAGCACGCUCACCUAAAUAGAGCUGCCACCCUCCAAUAGUGAAGAGAGGAACUCUCCUGGUAGAGAUCAAAUACUCGACUCCGGUCGGAUGUCCAUCCUCAAAGCCGAUGGUCAAAUGCUCCCCUGAAUAGGGAAUCCAUGUAAUGGUACCCGCCAUCAGCAACUCCAGCUGCAUACGGCAGUGAGUGAAUCCCUCAGAUACAAGGACCUCCGGCAAAAUAGAAUGGUGCCAUCGUCAUCCUCGUGGAUAGGUAUCUAAACCUAACACACUCACAGGAUGCAAAAUGGGAGCCUCUCAUAGGCCCAAAACUGCCAACACAAUGGCAAAAAAUCUGCUAUCAGUAAACACUCUUAACCUAUGAAUGGGAAAAGUAAAGAGAAAUACUCACCAGCAGAAAUGGGUAAAAUCCUAGCCAAGCCUCAGUUAGACCCUGUGAGCGCAUGCGCAUGCCCCGGAGGAAAUAGGCAAAGGUAUAAAAGCCCCAAUCAUACUCUCUAAUACGGUCCACAUCGCGUGUGGCGCUGACCAAAGCGAAAGAUACCGUGGAAGAGUUUUCUGCUAUGAAGCAGCCUCGAAUGAUCAUCAGGAACAAUCGCCGCAGAACGCGAUCCCUGAUCCUGACAUCAUCAGGCAUGGGCUCACUCAAUAGCCCGCUCAUAGCAUCUACGCUCAAAGGACCUGAACGGACAGUCCGGCCUUUGAUCGCUCCCGUCGGAACUCCUAAUAAGGAUCUGACGACCGUAGGGGUGAUAUUCGUUAUGCAAGGCAUUGGCUCCUCUCCAAACUCCAUACCUGUGAUAAAUCACCAAUCCAUAGGCGUCAUCAUCACCUCGCAAUCCAGCAGGUGGAGUGACUGAGUCUGAUGAAACCAUCGCUCAGACAAUGCCCUGAGAUAACCCCAGGGACAACAACGGGGAAGGAUGGAAAAGAACGCCCCAAUUCCCCACUCAUUCACUAUCGCUCUGUAGUCAGGAUGAAGCGCCUGGUAUAUGGAAUGAAUGCUAAACCAGUUCCCUCGAGGCUGUGUAAAUCCUGGAACCUGCAUGAAAUGUAGAUCAACAUCAGAACCCUUUAAUCCUCAUCAAUAGGAAAGAAGGAAGAUCAAAGUCUAACGCCAUACCUCGUUAGCAUGCAAGUACAUCGAUGGAUGUCUGCCCAAAUCACCCAGCAACUCUGGGUUCAUCACCUCAAUCGGAAUAUCCGCCUCCUCAUCCUCAACGUCUAGAACAUCUACCUGGACAGGACGUAUCACGGCCUCCACCAACCGACGAGGCUGUCUGACAGAACGGGGACGAGGCACUUCAGAAGCCCUCCGCCGUACGCCAAAAGUUGUCCUGUAGGAACUGCUCGGCUGAUCCAGAUCCAUAAUAUCUGGACAACAAGUCUCCAAAUCACCUCAGAAAGGGUGUGGUAUUUCCUUACUUGGAGCUUUUUAAAUGCAUUUAUGACUAUAUGCAUGAAUGCAUUUACUUUAGCAUAUAAUAGAGUUAAAGUGCAUGACUACCCAAUGCCUACAUUUGGAAAAUUUUUUCCAUAGUCCCCUUUGAAAAUAGGACUAUCCACAUGCACAUAGGCAUGUCUAGGUGGCCAUUCAGUAGCACACCUGCCCCAAAGUCAUAUACAUAAUAUAUGCAUUAAAAAUCAAAAUCAUCAUGCAUAAGGCCAACCUCAAUGCUAGGAGUACUUUGCCUUUCUACCUUUUGCUCAUUGGACCUCAAAUAGGACAAAAAAUAGCAGAAAAAGGUGUCAAUUUGACUGUCUCAGAAGUCAAAUUUUUUCACAUCAUUAUGUUCAGCAUGGUUUAAUACUAACAUUUAUUAUGUUGAAUAUUUUUUAUCAAGUCAUUUGUGUAUACAUAAUCACUACUAUGUGUUUAGAUGCAUUUCGUGCGAUAACUCACAAUCUAUCGGACAGAAACUGGAAAAAAAUACAUGCAUACAUUACUAGGAUAGUGUAGAACACUUGUACGGUGACAGAAUUUGCAGAAAGCAGCCCGAACUCAGUAGAUCUGAAGAUGGCUCACGGUUUUUUCAAAGUGAAGCAAGUUGAAAGUGACUUGUGAAGACCAACCUGCAGGAUUUAUGAUCCACGGUUGGCCGCAGGCUCAUCUAUGGCUGCAGCAGGUGCACCUGCGGCACCCCUAUGUGGGCCCCACCCAUUCGACUUGGUCCAGUUCGAGUUGCAAAGGAGUUCUCACAGACUGAAAAGGUCAAAUCGAGAAUAAAAAUGCCACGCGAUUGAGCAAAACAGCAUACAAUCCUGGUCUUCUCAGAUGAGACUUUGAAUCUGUACAUCACUCAUUGGUAGUCCCCUAAACACAAGGUAUACCUUGCCGAUGACCUCAGUUGUCACAAAUUGCAUACAGCAAUACCUUAUACAGGUCCGAUAUCGCCGACUCCAGGUCGUUACCCUACGUAUAUUCCCCGACGGGGGUUACAACAUAAGUCCCCGGCGGGGGUUACAACGUAAAUCCCCUGUGGGGGUUACAACACAUUCAUCCGUUGACAUGUCUAUCAACAAAGGUCAAGCAGCCUUGACGUUAUUUCAACCGAUGGCAAGUAAACCCAUCGAAGCAUUGGGAACCGUUCGAUAGUUGCAUACGUACUCAUACGUCCCCAGCAGAUCCCCGGCGGGGGUUACAACGUAUAUCUCCGGUGGGAGUAACAAUGCGUGCUCAACCAUUGACACACAUAUCAACGAAGGUGAAUCAACCUUGACGUUAUUUCUGCCAAUAGCGAUUAAACCUAUCAGAGCUAUAGAGCUAUUCGAGGUUUGUAUACCCAACUGCUCGUAUUCCCCAGUGGAUCCCUGGCGGGGGUCACAAUGCAAUGUUCUGUUGAUUCACACGUCAGCGAAGGUCAAGCAACCUUGACGAUCUCCUCACAGAGUCUCAGUCAUUGAUUCACACAUCAGCGAAGGUCAAGCAGCCUUGACAGUAUAUCCCAUAGGAUUUUCCAGCCAUUGAUUCACAGGAUGGUGAAAUACACAUCAACAAAGGUCAGGCAUCCCUGAUAGCGUUUGCUGUUGGCAGUAAAUCCAACAGAAUCUUAACAUGUCCUGGCGAUACCAACCCGGAAAGGUUAAUGUUAUGAAAGAGGAUAAAUGAUGGAAUAUGUUAUACACAUCCUCAAACAGAUCAAGCUUUAUCCCCACAGAUCUCUUGCGCAUAAGAGGUACCUCUUCAGGAUCAAGUCGUUAUCAAGAACACAGGAAUUUGGUGAUAACUCCAACAUCAACAUCCUAACAGAUUUGGCUUAUACGUCGAAUCGGGACAGCAUUGCUAAUCCCCAGUUGAAGCAACAGGGAUCCCGCAAUCAUCCCCAGCAUGUUGGGCUACAACCCCGUACACAUGCAUCAUACAUUUGCCUCAUUUUGCUACCCAUAGUACCACGUUUGUCUUUUUGAGUUUCAAGUGUCUAGGAUUCUUUAUCAUACCCAUGCAUCGCCAUCCAUGAGUAUGAUAAAGAGGGGCAUCUGUAGACACUCAAAAUUUUCAGUACUACUAUUACUAACAUUGCAAGAGGAUAGAUUCGUCUUUUAAGAGAGAACCCUGAAAGACGAUCCAAAUCCAUGCCGGAUACUACCGGAAGUUUAGCAUCAACCCCGGAUCGCAAUCUGGGAGUAACAAUUCCAACCUUGGAUGUAACCCUGGGGCUUGCAGAUCCAAUAUCGGAACACACACCGGAGAAGACCGAUUAAUCUCGGAGAUGACCCCGAGGUAUCCAGUCUCAGUCCCAACCAUGGGAAUAGCCCUCAACCUUGGUGAUAGCCCCAAGGAAUGCAGUUUCGGUGAUAACCCCGGAAAUACUUGUGUCAAAUGCAACCAGCUUCAAUCUCAGUGCUCACAACAAAAUACACUGCACCAACCCGGCAAUAACAUCAGGAAGACAGGCACACCUCAAAGAUGACAAUGAGGACCUUCAACAAUUGAAGCAGUCCAAUCUCAGCGAAGUCUGAGCAACGUCUGCUAUAUAAGCCCAAUCCGGCGAUAACACCGGUAAGGGGCAACAUCGUCAUCUCAUCAAACACGAUGCCAUGUCACGUCUCCACACAACGAUGUCCCACAAGGCUAACCAAUCCCGAGUGACUAUUGUGCGGGGUAACAGAUGAAAGCUGAAGCUUGAAGACCGGACGACAUUGUCCCAUCUUCAAUGACUUCACACAAAUUCUAAUCCCAUGCCAUCGUACAACUCUCGACAAUGGCGGUCCGAAAUAGGUCUUAUAUACCUCAAACAGAUGUCCGAAUUGCACUUCUGAAAAAUUGAGUGGACAUUAUAGUGCCUGAGUGCACGUACUUCGAGAUGACCCGACUUGACAAACCCGGGCCAACCCGGGUUGCCUCUGGUACACCUGCGGCUCAGCCGCAGGUACACCUGCGGCUAAUAUGCCUAUAAAUAGAGGGCUUGGGGUGCUGAUUUUUAAGAGAAAAAAGAUGGGGAAACCCUGCACAAUUCACUCCACACUCGCCCUACAGUGUAUUUUCCCACUUUUAAACACCUGUGAGCUCAUAUAUAGCCUCUUUUGUACCCACAAAAGCCAGUGUUUACCCACUCUAAAGAUAUAGAAGCCUUUUUUAGCAGUCAACUGUAAGCCUUCUCACACACUUUAGAGUCUUUCUCUUCAUCUUUGCACACACCCUUCUACACGUUGAGAGUCGUGUUGCUUGCUUUUGCCCGGACUUCAGUCCGUGGUUUCAUUUCAGUCUAUAUAUAUAUAUAUAUAUAUAUAUGAACUGUGGUCGAACUCUGUUCGAUGAGCCUGGAUUUUAUAUUCGGUGCAUUUAUUCGCUUAUAUAUAUAUAUAUAUAUAUAUAUUCUUAUAUAUAUGAAUUAUGGUCGAACUCUGUUCGAUGAGCCUGGAUUUUACAUCUGGUGCAUUUAUUGCUUAAAUAUAUAUAUAUUGUCCCACCUGGAGUUUACUUCGUGGUGGUUGAUCGCUUUUACAGCUUUCUUUACGUUUCGUCCUGCCUGGAGUUUACUUCGUGGCAGUUGACUGUAUUUACAGCUUUAUUUAUAUUCUGUCCCGCCUGGAGUUUCCUUCGUGGCGGUUGACCGUAUUUACAGCUUUAUUUACAUUUCUGAUCCCCCGUGGUGGUGCUUCGUGGUUGGUGAUCCUGUCUAUGUAUAUAUAUAUUUCCCGUUUUUAUAUAUAUACCUACUUACUACUUUCAUACAAAUUGCAGCAUUCUGUGCGCCUAGGAAUCAUGUGAUCACAGAUUCAUCUCAUUGGAUCUAGAUUCGGUUCCCGUGAUGGACAUUUUCAGCUGUAAGCAGCUUGUAAAUUAUUCUGCGAUGUCUGUAUUUCCUCAGAUGGUUUCCAUACCCACGAGGAAGUCGGCAUUAUUUUGUACAUUAUUUUCAUACGGAUGCCUCGCAUUCGUAAAAUAAAAUCAAUUCAGCCGCUCACUUAAUAAAAAUAGGAGUGUAAAAGGUCUCAAUUCCUAUUGAGCAUUAGGGUUUGAAAAACCUCUUUUAUAAAACAUCACUGCCAUAUCUUGCUAAAAACUGAAUUUUCACAUAAAUUCAAACCCUGUGUAUAUAGGUUCGAACGAAGCCUCGCACUACUUCCAAAUAACAGCACAUUGACCCACACACACACACUCAGAUAAUAGUUUCUUGAAAAGAGGCGGUCACCAUGGUAACACGGAUGUCGGGGGGUGCCUAACACCUUCCCCCCGCAUAAUCAAGUCCCCGGUCCCUAACGAAUCUCGGUUUCACCGACCCGUAUAUCAGUGUCACAUCACUAGGUCAAUGUGCAAACCUUUUCUCAGUUAUGUUGGUACAACCAUUUAAAAAACCAACUGGCGACUCUUAACAGUCCCAUCGUCGACAUUAUACAUGUCGGACCUUUUUCACUUCUUUUUUCAAACAAAUCUCACCUAAAUUGAGAACACCAAAGAACAAGUAACGGAAUGGGACAUCGAAAAAUCCCGACGUCGACAACUAAUAUUACCAUUAAAUGAUUUUUAAAACAUUUAAAAUCAUUUUUAAAUAAUUACCAUUAAUAUUCAAAUAUUAAUGUAUUUCUCAUUAAAAUAUUAAAAGUUAUUUAUUAUAACUUAAAAUAUUUUUAAAUCAUUUAUAUCAUUUUUAAUUGAUUUUUAAAUCAUAAAAAUCAUUUUAAACCAUUUAUUUAAUACAAUUACUAAAUAAAUUAUUAUCAUUAAUAUUAAAUUAUUAAUUAAAUUUAUCUCAAAAAUAUUAAAAGUCAUCUUUUAUAACUUAAAAUUUUGUUUAACACUUUUUUAUCAUUUAAAAUGAUUUUUAAAAUAUUAAAAUCAUUUUGACUAAUUUUUUAAUAAAAUUAUUAAAUAAAUUUAAUAUCGUUAAUAUUUAAAUAAUUUAAAAUAUUAAUGAAAAUAUUGUCAAAUUAUCAAAAGUUAAUUUCUAUAACUUAAAAUAAUUUUUAAAACUCAUUUUUGAAUUUUUAUUAUUUAUUUUCUAUUUUUAUUGAUUUAUUGAAAAUUAAUUUUAUUAAAACUGUCGCGAUAGGCUUUAGCGACGAAAACUUUCGUGGUUGGUGUUCUUCAUCACUGAAGAACAACCAGGGUCAAUGCCUUGGGGGCUAGUUUGACCAUGGUUAAUUUCUUACUGGUUUGGAUUAUGGGCUUGAGAUGUUAAUCACGGUGUUUGUACUAGUGUAAUACUACAAGUACAAACCAAUAUCAUGGUUUAACUACAACACAUCAUGAAUAUCUAAGGCUCAAAGUGGCUGUCAGGCCUGUUCUAGGUUUUCUGGGUUACCCAGAAACCCAGAGAAUUCUUGGUAGGUACUUUGUAGCUUUAAUAACUUAAUUUCUGGACAUUGUUUAAGUGUUAGAGUGUUACAAUCUUGUAGAUAACAUGUCAAAGAACAAAAGUACUACACUUAGGUAGCCUAAAUACAUCACAUAUGCAAGAUUUGGGUUGGUCAAACCUUGUCAGAAAAAAUGUUCAUCAGUUUUCUGGAAUUUCCAAAAAACCCAAACUGUGCUUUGUCAACCUAGUUUUACUGCUAAUAACUUUGAUUUUGUUAGUGGUAUAUGUGUUCUAAUGUCAUGGUUCUAUAGUCCAUAUACCAGGAUAUAACAAUGAUACACUUACACAAGCUAAACACAUAACACAUGCAAGAUCCUAGCCCAACAAAAAGUUGUCAGACCAUUCUGGGGAUUUUCUGGGUUAUCCAGAAAUGCAAAGUCAUGACUGGUCAACCUAUUUUGACUAUUAAUAACUUGGAAUCUAGACAUGAUAUAAACAUGAUUCCACUUCCAGAUUACUCUCCUCAUAGCAUACUACACCACUGAUACAUCUAACAAGUCUAACAAAUAAAAGAUUUGGAUAUAUGACCUCUAACAUUUGACUGUCAGGCCAUAUUUUAGGGUUCUUGGCAGUUUUUAAAAACUUCAUUUUUAAGCACAUAGAUGUUAUGGAUCCAUGAUAUAUUACCAUAGAUCACUAAAUAACAUCCUAUAACACAUAAAUAAACACAAAAACACAAAAAUAGUCUUAGCAGACAAGAUCUAGCUUAGUUAGGGUUUAUCUCUCUUUGAAUAUCCUUUGAUCCUUGCUUCCUAAUCUGAUAUUGGGGUGUUAUGGCCUUAUCGAGGGACUAAUCUACUCAAUGAUUUCGUGGCUUGAGAAAGAGAGAGACUUAGCUAGUGUAUAGAACACAAAUGAGACUUAUCUGUGGUUUUUCUCUAUUUUUAAUCUCUCACUUUGAUUCAAUGAACUUAGAUGUUGCUAGGUGGCAUAUAAGAUCUGAUUUGUUUUGGAUUUGGAGCACAUGGGAGAUUUAAAGUAUGGUGAGUCACAAGUUUUUUCAAAUCUUUUAACUUACAAGUUAAGUAAAAGGGUAUUUUAGUAAUUUCACCUCAAAAAGGGUAUUUUGGUAAUUUUCCAUAUAAUUUUAAGGGUAGUUUAGUCAUUUGACAUGAUCUCCUUUAAGCUUAACCCUUAGGGUUUGAUAAUCACCAUUAUGGUUUGCUAACUAGGGUUUAGGGUUCCCAAAUAUGAAAUUACGGUUUUCGAAAAUACAAUUAGGGUUCUUAACUGAUCGUUAGGGUUUUGUAACUACAAAUUAGGGUUUCUAAUCUUAAAUUAGGGUUUACUAAGGUUAUACCUUAUCUGAUUAACAAUUGAUCGUUAAUCCCAUACUACACAAACACAAAGUCCUAGAUAUAAUUAUAAUAACUGUAUUAACUAUUAAAUCCCUAUCCGUAAGUAGGGUUAGGGUUUUCAUCAGCUGCUUAACACAACUUCAUACAUAUUUCUUAGUCAAUAAAUAGUUUGACUAUCUUGCUAUGCUCAUAUCACAGUUACCCAACAUACUAUUGAUAAUUAAUACUAAUAAUAUUUUUAAAAAAAUUAUUCUUAAAAAAUAGAAUUGUUUAAAAUUCAGGGUCCUGACAUUCUCCCAUCCUUAUAAGGAUUCCAUCCCUGGAAUCACUAUUUCCUUAUAUUCAAUUUAUGUUUAUUAGUUCAUCUAUUCUUACUGAUCCCAAUUCAGAGCAAAAAAUAUGAAACCUCUAAGGUUUACCAUAGACCUUAUAAUCAUAUUUGCGUUUUAAUAUCUUUUAAAGUUGUAUCAUCAAUUCCUCUAUAUAAACACAAUACUAAUUUGUGAAUCAUAUAUUAACAUGUGACUCGGAUCCGUAAAUGGAAACAACUCACAGCGAUAUCUACCCAAUAAUAAGCACAUAAUUAUAUUACUGAACGAAAUCUUUACCUAUCAUGACCAUUGUGACACCCCCAAAUCCGGUAUUUCCAUUUCCACAGGAUUUGGUGUUCACUAUACAAACAUCAUUCAUCUAUCUACCCAUAAAUAAAUGCAAACCAUGCAAUAGAUAGAAAUAAUAAUAAAUCUCCCCUUAUGGGGUUACAUCAACUACGUAAUAAACAUAAUCCCAGGUUACUCUAACCUUAAACAUCUGUGCGGAAACAUAAACAAAUAAGUAACAUCAAUUCUAAUUAUCAUUACAUAACCACAUAAAUAAUCAAUCUUCAUUACUUGUUAAGAUUGCCCUUGUCUUUACUAGUGGAAGGUUCGUCUGCUCUUUCGUUCUUAACUGCACUGUUAUUAUUGCGCAAGAGUGAGCACGACUGCCCACAAGUAUAACAAUAUAAUAAUGAAAUAAUAACAUGCGAAUAAAUCAAAGACUUCUGAAAUAAAAGCUCAACUUUUGAAUCAAGAAUGAAUAACAAGAAUCAAAAGAUUUCUGAGGGUCAUAAGACCUUGAACUAUGUCCUAGGUUAUCAAGGGUUAUACUUGAAACCUUUAACAGUCAUAAGACUAUGGACCUUUCUACUCGUACUUAGGGGGAUCAUCCAUUAGUACCAUACUGUGCACAAUAUCUUAACGCUAACGCAUAAGUAAAUCCCUUUGCAGGGUUGUUCAUAUUAGUUUGACAUUCGAGUCCGAACCAAAGGAAGUUUGGUUUGGUUAAUUCAAUAAGGGUUCUGAAAUUUAGAACGUUCAUCAACUAUGGACUAGACGAAUCAAUAAGGUUCAGUUGUCUAACAAGGUUCAACAAUAAUGAUAUUCAAAUUGAAUAAUAAUCUCAAGAAGUAUACAAUAGAACAAAUAUUGUAUAACAAAUUCAUACUUUGAAAGGAUAAUAAAUAUUUAAUAUGACAAUUCGAACUUGAAUAAUAGUAAUGAGAAUUUACUCAAGGUAAAUAAUAAACUUGAACAAUGAUAACAAGUAGGGGUAGGAAACUUGCCUCGUGCGUAGAUUACACUUUAACUAAACUCGUUCUUUGAUUUAAAUCCUACAUAUCAAUUACGUUCACAAUACCAGUCAAUUACAACGUACUAAACAACAUAAGUUUAUUCUUUUGUCUAACUCGAAUUCAUGACUAUACUUAGUCAAUUACUACACUUAUUGUCAAAAAUUAAGACUUCACGAACAAUAAGUUAACUAUGCAUUCAAUUCACACGUAAUUGUGUUAUGGACGUGUUAAGAAUUUAUUUUAACACCUCAUUAUAUGUCUAAUAAAUUUUUAUAUUCAUUAGACUAAGUUACUAUCACAUUUCUAUACUUGAAUACUUAAAAAAAACAUUUUCUGGACAUUCUGCAUAGUGGCGCUGCGGCGCCACCUUUGUACUAAGCCUUCGCGCUGCGGCGCCGUGGCGCUGCAGCGUGGUCUUUGGCGCUGCGGCGCGGUGGCACUGCGGCGCGGUGGCGCUGCGGCGCUAGUCACAAGGCCUGGAGUCGGCGCCGCGGCGCGAGACUCCAGUUUCAGUUCUGCAAUUCGCGAAACAUUUAUAGAGUGAUUUUAACCCAAUAAAACACAUAAUCACAGAAUUAAAUUAUGCAAAUUGUACUAUUCUUGAUGUUCUUGAUGAUUUUGAACAUAAAUCAUGAAAUUUAAUACUACGGAUUCGUUAUAAGGCCAAAUCCAACCAUUCAAGUUUUGUUUUGUUCAUUUUAGCAUGCAUAAUAAUAUACAAGUAUAAAUUUUACAAAACCGUUUAUGGUUGACAUAUUAAAGUUACGUAUAAGGGACAUAUGGCCAUAUAACGUACUCUGUAAAUUUUGAAACAGCAAGUCACAGUAUUAUGAAACUUAUGAUAUGAAAUCAUAUACAAUAUAUAUAAAACAUGCUAUGCUACUCGAAUUAUUACAUAUAUUCACAUAAUUGUUACCCUUUUCAACUACAAAAAACUUUAAAGAAGACUUUAAUCCAUAUUCAUGAAAACUUUAAAAGACGUAAAAUAAGAAAUUAGGUUGGAGAGAAUUACCCAAGCGUAGUGUGAAUAAGGAUGACAAUUUGAAACGCUUCUCAAACUCUUCUAUCACACAACUCACACUCUCACUCAACAAUUUCUCAACUCUCUCUGUGAUGUUGUGCCAGACUUAGAAAAAUGAAAGAAAAGAAAAAGACGUAUGAUAAUAAAGGAGAAAACUGACGCGCGUUAUGUAGGUCAGUUACCCAUCAUGGGUUAACUGCUCCUAACUCCCAUUAGGGCUCCGUUUGGCUAGCUAGAAUAGAUUUCAAAAGCCAUUUAAUUUAAUAAACCUUAUCAUAAAGUUUGAAAAUGUCACACUCCUUAUAAAAUAAAUCCAAUAUUUUAUUUAAUUUACUUUAAAUAAAAUAUAAAAAUUUCUCAUAAAUUCACAUAGUCACAUAAUUAAAUUUCUCAUUAAUAAAUAAUGUCAAUUUAUUAACUCUCUAAUUAAUAAUUAAAUUAAUUAAAAUACCAAUAGGCUUAUUAAAUAUUUCUUUUAAUACCAUAAGCUCACAUAAUCACAUACUUCGAUAAUAAAAAUUCUCCACAUUAAUUUAAUAAAUGUAACACAUAAUUAAAUUACUCUACCACAAUUGCAUUAAUUAAUUAUUUAGUCUAAUAAUUAAAUCAUCGAAAAUAUUUAUUUACUUUAAUAAAUAUUAAAAUUAAAUUACAAAAAUCUCGUUCGUCACAUCUUUCCCCUCUUAAAAGGAUUCUGUCCCUAGAAUCACGACUCAAUAAAUUCAACCCGUUACAUUCUCCCCCCCCCUUACAAAGAUUCUGUCCCCAGAAUCGCUUACACAUGAAUUAAGUAAAUAAAUGAGGGUAAUUCUUCAUCAUAUUCUCUUCGAGUUCCCACGUAGCUUCUUCAGCGUUGUGGUUCCUCCAAAUUACCUUAAUAGAAGGUAUUACUUUAUUUCUGAGAACUUGUUCUUUUCGAUCGACAAUUUGAACAGGAAUUUCUUCUUAAGAUAAGACUUUAUCAAAAUGUAGGGGUUCGUAUUCAAUUACAUGCUUGUAAUAGGCUUUGUAGGGAUGUAAAACAGAAACAUGGAAGACGUUAUGGACAUUCUCAAGUGCUGGAGGUAGGGCUACCUCAUACGCAACUUCUCCAAUUCUUCUAAGUACUUCAAAUGGUCCAAUGAAUCUUGGGCUCAAUUUCCCUUUCUUUCCGAACCUGAUAUUUUCCUUCCAAGGAGUGACCUUCAAGAAAACAUAACUACCUGAUUCAAAUUUGAUAUUUUUACGAUGUGGAUCAGCGUAUUUCUUCUGUCGAUCUUGAGUUGCUACCAGUCGUGCUCGGAUCACUUUGACUAUUUCUGUUGUUUGAUGUACCAAAUCUGGCCCUAGCAAUUGUCUUUCACCAACUUCAUCCCAAUAAAGUGGAGUUCUGCACUUUUUGCCGUAUAACACUUCAUAAGGCGGCAUGCCUAUACUAGCGUGGUAACUGUUGUUGUAGCCGAACUCUACUAACGGUAGGUGAUCAUCCCAAUUUCCUUUAAAGUCCAUCACACAGGCUCUUAGCAUAUCUUCUAAUGUCUGAAUCGUUCUUUCGCUCUGUCCGUAUGUUUGAGGGUGGUAUGUUGUACUCAUUCACAAUUGCGUACCCAUGCAUUCCUGAAGACGUUUGCAGAAAUUCGAUGUAAAGUGCAGAUCUCUAUCAGAAACAAUUGACACCGGCACUCCUUGCCUCAAAAUAAUCUCUUUUACGUAUAGUCUCGCCAACUGAUCUAAGUUGAAUCUGAUUUUGAUCGAAAGGAAGUGUGCAGAUUUCGUCAGUCGAUCAACGAUAACCCAUACUGCGUCAUAGCCAUUCUGAGUCGUCGGAAGGCCAACCACGAAGUCCAUUAUAAUAUGUUCCCAUUUCCAUUCUUGGAUCUCUAACGGUUGUAGCGAUCCACUCGGUCUCUGAUGCUUUGCUUUUACUUUCUGACAGGUCAGACAUUUGACAACACACUCUGCAACAUCUCGUUUUAAAUUUGGCAACCAGAAAUGUUAUCGAAGAUCUUGGUACAUUUUGGUACUACCAGGGUGAAUCAAAUAUCGUGAGCUAUGAGCCUCGCUUAAAAUGUCUUCCUUAAUCUCUGUGAUUGGCGGUACCCAAACUCUAUUUUCAAAUCUUAGUAUUCCUUCCUUAUCCAGCUUGAAUCUUGGUUCAGUUCCUUCAGAUAUCUUCUUUGUCACCUUUUUGCAUUCAUCGUCCUGAAGUUGAGCCUCUUUAACUUAAUCUAGUAGGGUUGUACCAGAUUGGAUUUGAAAUAGCUUCUCAUCAAUCUCCAUAGGAUACUUCACUUCUAACUCUAGUUUCUCCAUUUCUAAAAUUAGCUCCUCCUGAGCAGUCAACAUCAUCAAUUUCUCACGACCCUUUCUACUUAAGGCGUCGACAACCACAUUUGCUUUACCCGGAUGGUAUAAAAUCUCACAGUCGUAAUCCUUAAUUAAGUCCAACCAUCUUCUUUGACCCAUAUUCAAAUCUUUCUGUGUGAAAAUAUAUUUCAGACUUUUGUGGUCCGUAUAUAUUUCACACUUCUCCCCGUAGAGAUAGUGCCUCCAAAUUUUCAAAGCAAAAACAACUGUAGCUAACUCCAAGUCAUGGGUCGGAUAUCCCUUCUCGUAAUCCUUCAAUUGUCGUGAUGCAUACGCAAUGACUUUGCCGUUUUGCAUCAGCACACAGCCAAGUCCUUUAUGCGACACAUCACUAUAAACAACAAAAUUUCCUGUAUCAUCCGAAAGAGAUAACACAGGCGCCGUACUCAACCUCUUCUUUAAUUCUUGAAAGCUUUCCUCACACUUCUCCGUCCAAACAAAUUUCACAGUUUUUCGAGUUAAAUUCGUUAGUGGAGUUGCGAUCUUUGAAAAGUCUUGAAUGAAUCUUCUAUAAUAUCCUUCCAAUCCAAGAAAACUUCUUACUUUCGACGGCGUUCUCAGCUGAUCCCAGUUAAUCACGGCUUUGACUUUUGAUGGAUCUACCGAAAUUCCAUUUUUAUCGAUCACGUGACCAAGAAAUUGUACUCGCUCGAUCCAAAAUUCACAUUUUAAAAACUUAGCAUACAACUUCUCCCUUCUCAAUACCUCCAACGUUAAUCUCAAAUGCUCUUCGUGUUCUUCCUUGGUUUUCGAAUAAAUCAAAAUGUCAUCUAUAAAUACCACUACGAACUUGUCCAAAAAUGGCUUGAAUAUACCAUUCAUUAGUCCCAUAAAUGUUGCAGGAGCAUUCGUAAGACCAAAUGACAUUACUAAAAAUUCGUAGUGACCAUAUCGUGUUCUGAACUCUGUCUUCAGUACAUCCUCUGGCCUCACCUUCAGUUGAUGAUAACCACUUCUUAAGUCUAUCUUGGAAAAGUAUCUCGCUCCCUUCAAUUGAUUAAACAGGUCAUCGAUCCUCAGUAAUAGAUAUCUGUUCUUAAUCAUGACCUUAUUCAGUUCUCUGUAGUCAAUGUAGAGCCGCAUCGAUCCGUCCUUCUUUUUCACAAAUAACAUCGGCGCUCCCCAUGGCGAGACGCUCAAUUGAAUGUACUUCUUGUCCAGUAAUUCUUGUAGUUGUACCAUUAAUUCUUUCAUCUCUACUGGUGCCAUUCGGUAUGGUGCCUUCGAUAUUGGAGCGGUUCCGAGCGCCAAAUCGAUCACGAAAUCUACCUCUCUAUCCGGUGGAAGUCCAGGCAAAUUGUUUAGAAAUACGUCGACGAAGUCCCUUACAAUCUGUAUUUCUUCUACCUUCGGAUUCUCUUUUCGACUAUCGACUAUGUAAGCUAAGUAUCCUACACAGCCUUAUCUUAAUAACUUCCUGGCCUGCAUCAUUAUCAGACAACUCGCUUGUCUAGGCGACUUGCUACCAUAAAACACUACCUUUGACGGAGUCAUAAGGUUAAUACGCUUUUUUUUGCAAUUAAUUACAGCCCCGUAAUUGAAUAACCAAUCCAUUCCCAAUAUAACGUCGAAUUCCCCAAGUCGAAUAGGGAUAAGAUCUACGCUCAUUAUAUUACCCUUAAUAUCCACUCUACAGUUCUUAUGUACGUACUUAACAGGGAUUAUUUCUCUAUUCGCAAUUUCUAUGUUAAUGGGGUAAUCCAAUUCAUCCCUAGGCAAAUCUAAAUUCUUAGCAAAGUCAUCAGAUAUAAAGGAACAAGUAGCACCCGAAUCAAAUAAAAUAUAAGCAUUAAUUUUAUUAAUCGGAAUGAUACCUGACACCACAUCUCGAGACUGAACUGCAUCCUGCACCGUUAUGUUGAAAGUCCUGGCGGUCGGUCGGUUUGUAGCGGUUGGUCCGGUGAUAGUUAUGGCAUUUCCACUGUUGUUUCCCCGGUUUCCUCCUGAUCCUGACCCUCUCGAUCCCUUCUUAGGACAGUCUCUUGCCAAAUGAUCCUUUGAACCACAGGUGAAGUAGGCACCCUUCUUUGGGACAGUUAGGUGCUAUGUGGCCUUCCUGACCACAAUUGUGGCACACUCUUUUUCCCUUCAUACAAACUCCCAGAUGAGCUUUCCCGCAGGUCGGGCAUGCUUCGAUUCUUUUCUUCUAACUUCCUUGUUGAUUCCUCGAUGAUGAGUUUUCAUUCCACCUUUUCUUCUGAUUAAAAUUACCACCUCUUGUGCCACUUCCACUAGACUUGUUAUUUACUUCACCUUCGCUCUUCUACUUCUUCUUCUUCUGAUCUUGAUUGUAUUUGGUCACCGCAUCGCUUCCACCUUCAGUGAGGAUGGCCUUUUCCAGUACUCCGGCAAAAGUGUUUAUCUGAAAUAUUGAUACUUUACUGUAUACCCAAGGCUUUAGUCCUUGUUCGAAUCUUCUGGCUUUUCUCUCGUCCGUGUGUACUUGAUACGGGGCAAACCUCGCUAAUUCGUUGAAUCUAGCCGCAUAAUCAGGUACGCUCAUAUUUCCCAGCUUCAAUUCCAAAAAUUGAACUUCCAUCUGGUUCUGUGAGCUGGUUGGGAAGUACAUCUCGAAAAACAUCUCUUUAAAUCUCUCCCAAGUAAUUACACCUUCACCCCCUCAAACUUUUUUUGCUUGCCUCCAAUAGCUAGCUUCAGACUUCAGCAUAAAUGUUGCAAAAGCGGUCUUCUGGUCUUUUCUAACCCUAGCUACGUUGAAAACCUUCUCCAUUUCCAUAACCCACAUUUGAGCCUCGAUCGGGUUCAUGGAACCUUUAAACUCUGGCGGUCCCACCGCCUUAAAAUCUUUAAAUGUAGUAUUUGGUGGAGCUUGAGGUUGAUUAUUCAUUGCUCCAACUAGCAAGUUAACCAAUUGUUGAACAGGAUUAGCAUUGGCGUUAUUGUUGUUAUUCGUAGACUCUUCCUGAGCCGGUUGACGUUGUUGUCUUCUUAUUGGCGGCAUAAUUCUGUUAAGAAUAUUCGCUUAUUAGGUCUUUAUUCAAUUCUUCAAACAUUUAAGGCUUAGCAAGAACAUUUAAUCAUAAUUCACUUAACAUAUCAAUUUAAAUAAACUUUGACAUUUCAUUCAAUUCAAAAGUUUUAAUAUCAUAAAAUAGCAUCACUGCUAUUUACAUCAACUAUCCCGAGAUAAAGAAUCUACAGGAUUUAAAAUAUCAAAAUAUUCCUUUGUUUAUAAUCACAUCGGAAUUUACAUCAUUAACUACCAAAUAGUUUUCACAUAAUAUUAAACUAAUACUAUCACUGUCUAUCAAGGCGCUGAAUAGCCUUUCUACGCUCCUCUUCCAUGAUACGAGACAUCGUCCUGCGAUCCAGCAUGUACGAUGGAAGUCCUUCGAACUGGAUGGGGUACCUCAAAACUCGAUUCUCGGCCUCAUCCAUUGCAUGAUUAAGUGUAGAGUACGUCUCUCCAAGCUUUGCCUUCUUUGCACGACCAUCCUCUUCCACAAUAUCAGCACGACAUGGCUCUCUUACCCAGCCCUCCUCUGCUAUGGCAAGCCUCUCUGAACUCUCUUUCAGAUCUUUCUUCAACUUUUCUAUUUCUGCAGACUUAUCUUCGGUUUGACCCUUCUCAUGGACCAAAUCCCAUUCUACAUUUCCCAGUCGUGAGUGAAGAGUUGAAAUCUCCCUCUCCUUCUGCUCUAGAGUAAUCUGCUAAAUAAUAGCUCGAUCAGUCAGAUCCUGCACCUCAUCUCGUAACUCCACGUUACGGUCGUAUAAUGUGUCGUACAUCUCAGCAUCAAUAGAGUGAUGUGGAAACUCCUCUUCUUCCUCUUCCUCGUCAAAUUCCUCCUCAAGAUCCACCUCAGGAUCAGUCUCAGGUUCAUGCUCCUGACCAACAAUGGUGAUCAAUGGAGAUGACUCCCUCUGUACCAACUGUUCCCUAAUGACAUGAAUGUCUCGGGGUUACUCCUCUGUAGGUAUUGUAGGUACUCGGGGUUCCUCCUCCCCUGCUCGACUAGUUCCUCCAACGUCAAACAUCUUGACAACCAAAAUUUCAAGUUUUAGUUACUAAGUCGUACUAGUGAGCACAUAAUUUAACACAUAAGCACAUAAAGUGUUUUAUUAUCUUCAAUGAAUUACAAAAAUUUAUUUCCUAGAACUCGAUAAGAGUUUUCCAUCACUAUGUUCUUUCUAUAAGGCUACUACCUAAGGUUGUUCCCCCACCUAAGGUUCAUAACCUACAGCUUUGAUACCAACUUGUGACACCCCCAAAUCUAUUACUUCCAUUUCCACAGGAUUUGGUGUUCACUAUACAAACAUCAUUCAUCUAUCUACCCAUAAAUAAAUGCAAACCAUGAAAUAGAUAUAAAUAAUAAUAAAUCUCCCCUUAUGGGGUUACAUCAACUACGUAAUAAACAUAAUCCCAGGUUACUCUAACCUUAAACAUCUGUGCGGAAACAUAAACAAAUAAGUAACAUCAAUUCUAAUUAUCAUUACAUAACCACAUAAAUAAUCAAUCUUCAUUACUUGCUAAGCCUGCCCUUGCCUUUACUAUUGGAAGGUUCGUCUGCUCUUUCGUUCUUAACUGCACUAUUAUUAUUACGCAAGAGUGAGCAUGAUUGCCCACAAGUAUAACAAUAUAAUAAUGAAAUAAUAACAUGCGAAUAAAUCGAAGACUUUUGAAAUAAAAGCUCACAUUUUGAAUCAAGAAUGAAUAAGAAGAAUCAAAAGAUUUCUGAGGGUCAUAAGACCUUGAACUAUGUCCUAGGUUAUCAAGGGUUAUACUUGAAACCUUUAACAGUCAUAAGACUAUGGACCUUUCUACUCGUACUUAGGGGGAUCAGCCCUUAGUACCAUACUGUGCAUAAGUAAAUCCUUUUGCAGGGUUGUUCAUCUCAGUUUGACAUUCGAGUCUGCACCAAAGGAAGUUUGGUUUGGUUAAUUCAAUAAGGGUUGUGAAAUUUAGAACGUUCGUCAACUAUAGACUAGUCGAAUCAAUAAGGUUCACUAGUCUAACAAGGUUCAACAAUAAUGAUAUUCAAAUUGAAUAAUAAUCUCAAGAAGUAUACAAUAGAACAAAUAUUGUAUAACAAAUUAAUACUUUGAAAGGAUAAUAAAUCUUUAAUAUGACAAUUCGAACUUGAAUAAUAGUAAUGAGAAUUUACUCAAGGUAAAUAAUAAACUUGAACAAUGAUAACAAGUAGGGGUAGAAAACUUGCCUCGUGCGUAGAUUACACUUUAACUAAACUCUUUCUUUGAUUUAAAUCAUACAUAUCAAUUACAUUCACAAUACCAGUCAAUUACAACGUACUAAACAACAUAAGUUUAUUCUUUUGCCUAACUCGAAUUCAUGACUAUACUUAGUCAAUUACUAUACUUAUUGUCCAAAAUUAAGACUUCACAAACAAUAAGUUAACUAUGCAUUCAAUCAUUCAAUUCACAUAUAAUUGUGUUAUGGACGUGUUAAGAAUUUAUUUUAACACCUCAUUAUAUGUCUAGAAAAUUUUUAUAUUCAUUAGACUAAGUUACUAUCACAUUUCUAUACUUGAAUACUUAAUAAAAACAUUUUCUGGACAUUCUGCAAAGAGGCGCUGUGGCGCCACCUUUGUACUAAGCCUUUGCGCUGCGGCGCCGUGGCGCAGCGACUUGGUCUUUGGCGCUGCGGCGCGGUGGCGCUGCAGCGCGAGUCACAAGGCCUAGAGUCAGCGCCGCGGCGCGAGACUCCAGUUUCAGUUCUGCAAUUCGCGAAAAUUGCAGAACAUGGCCAAUGAACUCCAAUAAAAUUAUUACUACACGAAUUUAAUCAUACCCACAUGUUAGAAUUCAUAUAUAAUCAAUACCCAACAUUUAUAGAGUAAUUUUAACCCAAUAAAACACAUAAUCACAUAAUUAAAUUAUGCAAAUUGUACUGUUCUUGAUGUUCUUGAAGGUUUUGAACAUAAAUCAUGAAAUUUAAUACUACGGAUUCGUUAUAAGGCCAAAUCCGACCAUUCAAGUUUUGUUUUGUUCGUUUUAGCAUGCAUAAUCAUAUACAAGUAUAAAUUUUACAAAACCGUUUAUGGUUGACAUAUUAAAGUUACGUAUAAGGGCCAUAUGGCCAUAUAACGUACUCUGUAAAUUUUGAAACAGCAAGUCACAAUAUUAUAAAACUUAUGAUAUUGAAUCAUAUACAAUAUAUAUAAAACAUGCUAUGCUACUCCAAUUAUUACACAUAUUCACAUAAUUGUUACCCUUUCCAACUACAAAAAACUUUACAGAAGACUUAAAGCCAUAUUCAUGAAAACUUUAAAAGACGUAAAAUAAGAAUUGGGUUGGAGAGAAUUACCCAAGCGUAGUGUGAAUAAGGAUGACAAUUUGAAACUCUUCUCAAACUCUUCAAUCACACAACUCACACUCUCACUCAACAAUUUCUCAACUCUCUCUGUGAUGUUAUGCCAGACUUAGAAAAAUGAAAGAAAAGAAAAAAGCGUAUGAUAAUAAAGGAGAAAACUGACGCGCGUUAUGGAGGUCAGUUACCCAUCAUGGGUUAACUGCUCAUAACUCCCAUUAGGGCUCCGUUUGGCUAGCUAGAAUAGAUUUCAAAAGCCAUUUAAUUUAAUAAACCUUAUCAUAUAGUUUAAAAUGUCACACUCCUUAUAAAAUAAAUCCAAUAUUUUAUUUAAUUUACUUUAAAUAAAAUAUAAUAAUUUCUCAUAAAUUCACAGAGUCAAAUUAUUAAAUUUCUCAUUAAUAAAUAAUGUCAAUUUAUUAACUCUCUAAUUAAUAAUUAAAUUAAUUAAAAUACCAAUAGGCUUAUUAAAUAUAUCUUUUAAUACCAUAAGCUCACAUAAUCACAUACUUCGAUAAUAAAAUUCUUCACAUUAAUUUAAUAAAUGUAACACAUAUAAUUAAAUUAAUCUACCACAAUUGCAUCAAUUGAUUAUUUAAUCUAAUAAUUAAAUCAUCGAAAAUAUUUAUUUACUUCAAUAAAUAUUAAAAUUAAAUUACAAAAAUCUCGUUCGUCACAACAAUACCAUGCAGUCUUACAAUCUCGUUGCACCUCCUGUGCAGCCACUACGUCUUGAACUGUCAUGUAUAAAAGUUUGUGUCGUUAGUCUUCCCGGCUGAGCAGGUCCUUUUAUUGUCAGUGUUCCACUGUUGGUUCCUUUGUUAAUGUUUCCCUUAUACGCAUUCUUCUUUGGGCAGUUCCGAAUAUGAUGAUCUAACGAUCCACAAAAGAAACAACCUCGUAUCUUCUUUGGAUUGGGACAAUUGGGAGAAAUGUGUCCCUCUUGGCCACAGUUAAAACAUACUCAUUUUCCCUUCAAAUAAACUUUAUGAUGGUUCUUCCCACAAACCGCACACAUCUCACCUCUCUUCCUACUCUCUCCUGACUUAUUUCCCGAUUGGGCAUUAUCACUCCACUUCCACUUAUUGGGUUUACUCCCACCACUACUUCCUCCUUCAUUCGUCUACUUCUUCUUCUCCUGAUGGUACUUGGAUGCAACUUCACUUUCUCCUUCCGCAAUGAUUACUUUUUCCAACAAAGUCGUAAAUGUAUUGAUCUGCAACACGGCUACGUUAUUAAAUAUCCCUAGCUUCAGUCCAUUCUCAACAAUAACAGUCAUAAUAAUAAUAGUACUAAUAAUAAUAAUAACAAUAACACUAACAAUUAUAAUAGUAGUACUAAUAAUAAUAAUAAUAAUAAUAAUAAUAAUAAUAAUAGUAAUAAUAAUAAUAAUAAUAAUAACAAUAAAACAAUAAUAAUAAUAACAAAUAUUAAUGUUAUUAUUAUUAUUAUUAAUUAUUAUUAUUAUUAUUAUUAUUAUUAUUAUUGUUGUUGUUGUUGUUGUUAUUAUUAUUAUUAUUAGUACUAUUAUUAUUAUUAUGACUGUUAUUAUUAUUAUUAUUAUUAGUACACUUCAUUUUUCAAAUUCUCUUUUUUCUUGACUUGUAAAUUUUUUAAUAAUCAAAUAUUAAUUUCUCUUUAUAUCUUAAAUUAGAGGGUGUUUGGCAAUGACUUAUAAGUUGGUCAAACUAAGUUAUAAGUCAUUUGUUAUUAUUUAAUGUUUGAAAAUAACUUACAUUUUAACUUUUUUUUGACUUAUAAGUCAUUAUUAAAAAAAAUUCAUGCUUCAUGUGCUAUAUUUUUUAUGUAUUAGAUAAAUUUUACUACUAUAUAUAUAUAUGUACACACAUAUUCAUAUAAAUAUUUAUAAAUUUAUCUCUAAAUAUUCAUAUAAAUAUUUAUAAAAAAAUAUUCAUAUCUAAAUUUUAUAAAUUUUAGAUGAAAUAUUUAUAAUUUUAUAAAUAAAUAUUUGUUUAUAAAUUUUAAAGAUAAAUUUAUAUGAAUAUUUGUUUUUAAAUAUUUAAAUGAAUCUUUAGAGAUAAAUUUAUAUAUAUAUAUAUAUAUAUAUAUAUUAAAAUAUUCAUAGUUACGUUAUAUAAAUAUUCAUAGUUACUAUAUAUAUAUUUAGUUUAAUGUGGAGAUUUAAGAUGGGUAUAUAUAUAGAUGGUAAUAGAAUUUAUCUAAUACACAAAAAAUAUAACAUAAGAAGCAAAAAUAUCAUAACUAGGUUUUGAACCUAAGACCUAUGGGUUAUUGGGCCAUUAAGCUACCACUGAGCCAUUCUAAUUUAUUAGUUAACUAAACUACCGCCAUAACUUGUAGCGGUAGACAGUGUAGCACAUGAGCAAAUGAGGGGCAAAUGAGUAAUUUCUCAUGUCGCUACAGCCUGUAGCGGCAGGGGAAAAUUCAUUUUAAUCCGUAUCAUCCGAUGUUGCGAUCAACAGUAUAGAUUAUGGUUGCUGAAAUAUUACCCGUGAAAACUGAUUGCUAAGCACGUUAGUUCCGGGCCUCCGACCCAAAUAAAUCCAACCUCAUCAAACCUGAUUAUUAUAUCUAUGCUUCCCAAUAUUUCCUAUUUCUAGAUAGAAGUGGGAUAUACUUAGAAGUAUUCCUUCACUCCGAGAAUGAAAGUGAUGAUUGAUUUUAUGCGAAUUUAAAAAAAUGUCAAAUGAUAAAAUUAUUCAUAUUUAAUUCUCAUCUAAUUGCAUAUUUUUUAUACAUGACUAGUGAUAUUAUAUAAAUAUUUAUAAAUAAUAAAAAUAUGACAUUUAAUACUAAGUAUAUUACGCACAAAUUAUUGUAAAAAAAAUAGAUUAUUCAAUAUAAGUAAAUAUUUAACUUGAGAUUACAUAAAAUAAUAAGAACUUUUAUUCUUAGACAAAGAGAGUAACUUAAAUCAUGAACAUAUUUUUAAGUCCAAAAAUAAAACAUAAAAAGAAUAAUAGUAAUGAUAUACCCCUAGCUAUUCCUAGUUCUCCUUUUACCUUUUUUCCAAAUAUAUUAUAAAUUAAAUUAUAAUACUAUCAGUUCUAAGAGAAAACAUAAAAGAUGAAGAAAAAUUUAUUAUGUUUUAUGAACUAAAAUAGAAUAAAGUUAUUUAAAAUGACUUAUAAGUCAUUCCUAAUAAGUUAGUUUGACCCAUAUUAAUGUAAUAUCAAUUUUAUCCCUAUUUAAUUUAAUUUUUUAAAAAAAUGAAUUUGUAAAAAAAAAAGAGUAAGAUGAGACGUCACUUUAAUUGGCGUAAGAAUUUUUAUUUUUAUUUUUUUAUAGCUGAAGUCUAAUAUACUCCUUCAUUUCUAACGCCGAUGACAGAGAAUAAAUAUAAAAAAAUAUUGAUGUUUGUAAACAAGUACAAGAGAUCAAAAAAAUUAAAAAAAAAAAGAGAUUCCAACGUCAGUUAAAGUGAUGUUACAUCUUACUAUUCUUUUUUACAAAUUUGCUUUAUAAAAAAAUUAAAAAAAAGUUAUAAUGCCGGUUAGUUUGACAUUGGAUCACAUUUUUAUUUUUUUCAAAUUUCUUUAAAAAAAUAAAAUCGUUUUAAAAAUAUUUAAGAUAAUUUUUUUUAAAUUCGUUUUUAAAUAAAAAUAUUUUUUAAAGUAACGUUGGUUGCCUUUCUGAUUAUUAGCCAAAACAAAAUCCAUAAAUUCAACGCCAUUUUAAACAGCGUUUAGUAAUUUUUCCCAAAUUAGAUGUGAGAGCCUUUACUCCCAACAACAGUGGUUGAAAUUUUUAUUUUUUUAAAAAUAUUUGUUUUAAAAUAAUUUUUUUUUAAAAAAAAAAUUAAAGUACACUUUUACGUUGCAUCUUUGAGAAUCUAAAUUUACCUUUCUAAAUAUAAUCAAAGCAAAUGUUCAUCACUUAGUAUUAUAAUGGUGACUUGACAACUAAAUUGAAGUAUUGUCUUAUUGAUGCUAGUGCUAUAUUUCAGUCACGUAUUUGGGCCACACCAGUAGAUGAUCUUCUUGUUCUUAAUGUCAUAUUUCUUGAUUAAUUAUACUAGAUUAAAGAACUGAGGACCUUUUCUCUUUAUAGUAAUGUAUGGGAUCCUUUUUUCCUUUUCAAAGAUUUUAUGCACUGUAUGAUAUAUAGAGUGACCUGAGAACUUCAUUUAUACUUCAGCUAGCGUAACUUUUCCCCUUACUACAAAUGGGUGUUAGCCUAGUUGCUAGAAAAAAGGGGAACUUCAAAAUAGUGAACUUUUCCACUGCAUCAUAGUUAUAACUUCACUAUUUUUUUAUAAAAAAAAAUCUGAUCGUGCGUAACUUCUUUUGCAGCCGGAUAUCAGGGCAUUGGAUUCAGCCACCACCUCCAGCAGAUGAGAUAUGGGCAUCUUACAUGGUGAAACAUAAAAUGAUAUCUAUCAAUUGCAGACUUUCACUUCUUAGGCACAUGAGUUGGGGUAUGUCGUGUUUGUAUAUAUUGACAACUUCCCUUGAUUAGACACUUUCUUGGUCCACUAGCUCACUUUUGAAAACCUCAGACUCAAUUUCUUUUCAAUGAAUGUCGAAUUAAAUCAAGCAAGAUUCAUCUCUCUCAACAAUACUCUUUUCAGUUUCUUUUGGACUAUUUUUUGGCUCUAUUCAUUACAGGGCAUGCGCCAUGGCUCAUACGAUAAAUUGGAUGAUGAUGGUCUUGCUCUUCCGGUGAGUAUAUGCGUCUUAGUUUCACUAUCAUCUUCUUUCCUGCUUAGCUGGAUUACAUUUUCGCAAACUUAUCCUCCUUUGUUUACUAGGGAACUAGAGUUUUUGGUGAGGAUGUUAUCAUUGGGAAGACCACUCCCAUUGCUCAGGAUGAUGCUCAGGGACAAGCUGCUUCAAGGUACAAGCGUUGUGAUCACAUCCAUGUGAUUGGAUAAUGGGAUUGGGCAAAUUUUCUGGAGGGAAUACUAUAGUCAUGGGUAUUAAACUCCAAAUUGGAGGAAAGUCUUUGGGGCUUCCAUUUUCUUUGAGUCUCUUCCUUAUAAGGUGAACCCACAAACUGGAUAUAUAUGUUUGCCCCGGUCAUUGGUGGAAUAUUCAGCUUUAAUCUGAAAUUUUAAAAUAAUAACCUUUGAUGUUGGUUUCAGGUCUUUUCCCUGCUCUCAUUUUUUCUACAUUAUUCCUUAUUUAUUUUUUGUCAUAUCUUAGUCGCCAAUGUCUUACGAUUUUGUUUGUAAAGUUUUGUCUGUUGGUUAUAAUUGGGCAACAAUAUCUUGUACUUAAUCACUACUGAUUUACAGGACUCGACAUUUGCUGAUAUGGAAGGAGAUGAAACAUUUGAUUCAUCCCUACUUGGAUAUACAGAUGAAGUGGUGGAGGAGCGCAUUGCUGAUGAUGAGGUUGUUUUGCUCAAAGGGACCAAAAACUCAAGUGCAGUAUGUGUCCUAUGUGUUCAACUAUUAUCUUUUAUUUGCGUAAUCGUUCUAAGAUGUCACAUUUCUUACAAGUGUAAUUAUCAUCAAAUUCUCGCGGGUGUGUGCCUUUUUAGGUCUCACUGAUACUCAAAGGUGCAAACGAUUAUAUGCUUGAUAAGAUGGAUAGUGUAGAGCCCCCAAAUCCGGGUACUUGAAACCCAAACUCGGUGCUUUAUAAUACCAUUUCUAUGAGCGGAAUAAUACUAAUAAUAAUAACAAUAAUAUAAAGAUCAACUUAAUUUACAUAUUAUCAGAGUCUGAAUCCCAAGUACGUAACCUUUAAACGUUUAUUACAACCCAUGAUAGAUAAUUAAUAUCAUUGUCUUACUAAGGAUAAACUAUUACAUAAAAUAGCACCAACUUAUUCUGCAAUCUUUCCCUUUCCCUUGUUCUUAGCAGAGCUCUCUGGUCGUUCGCACUUAGCUGAAAAUAUUUAAAUUUAAGCAAGGAUGAGCAUUUGAGUGCCCAGCAAGUAAUAACAAUUAUAUAUAUAAGCUGAAAGAAUUUAAAUGUUUUCUUUAUACUACCCUUCUACAACGAUUCAAUAGCUGUGAAGUAAUCUGUACCAAUGAUAAUAAUAUAUCAAUUCUAUACCAAAUCUUUGAAACUACGUACUGACUAUAAAUAGGGUUUAUGUGACAUGCUAUGAACAUUAUUUUCAAUUUCGAAAAGGUAAACAGAAAUUCAUCUGCAAACUGUCAUAACUUACGGGCACGGGGGGUGAUCAGCCCGUUAUGACCUGCAUUGAUCAACACUACAUGCAAGAACGAGGGUAUCAUUCACUCUGUCCGCCUUGGGCGCAUAAAAGUUUUCCCGUGUAGGGAUGUUCAUACUUGUCUGGGUUCCAAAUCAAAGGUUUUAUCUUGUUCAACAAUAAUCUAUAAUUCAACAUAUAUGUAUACGGGUAAUUGACAAAGGUAUAUCAACAUGUGAUUAAAUACAAUGAUUAUCCAAGUGGGGACACUUGUAUAACCAUUUAUAGAAAUUAACGAACAGAAUAUAUAUCUGAAUUAUCAUAUACUAACAUGUUGAUAAUCAAUGAGCGUAUAUAAUAUAGGGUUAAUAAUCUGUACAGUAAUAAUAUAAUUUAGAAACAUUCUUACUCAUGUCCAUUGCAUAAAGAAAAUGCAAAGGUAAGAUACUUGCCUGAUGCGCUGCUUACAGUUCGCAACUUAGUUUUAUCGUUUAUAUCACGACCUAUCAUUAAUCAGAUCAUUCGUUCGAUUAGAACAAUAUACUAUAACACAUAGUACUGCAUUUCGCAGUCAGCACAUAACCUAAUCACAUUAUUACCCAUGUUUAACAACCAUUGAAUCACAAAUAAUCACAUAUCUAAUUAAAUUAUCUAAGUCCAGAUCAAUUUUUGAAACAUGUCGGUGUAUCGACAGCUUUAUCGGAUAAUUAUCGAGUCUAAGACUCUAUUCCGUAACUCAAUAUCUAUAAAUAUCAGUCAUAUUAUUUUUAAAUGACUUAUAAUAAUUUUAAAACAUUUAUUAUAAUUUAUCAUGAAUUUUCAAACAUCGGAAUCAUUAUUAAAUGAUUUAAAUAUUAAACAAUCCUAUUAUCAUUAAUAUUUAAUUAAUAUUAAACUAUUAAUGAAAUUAUUUCCAAAAUAUUAAAGUUAUUUAUAAUAACUUAAAAUACUUUUAAAGUAUUAAUAUUACCCUUAAAUGAUUUUUAAAACAUUUAAACUCAUUUUUAAAUAAUUACCAUUAAUAUUAAAGUAUUAAUGUUCUAUUUAUCAAAAUAUUAAAAGUCUUUAAUCAUUAAUUAAAUAUUUUUAAUUCAUUUAUAUCCUUUUUAAAUGAUUUUAAAUUAAUAAAACCAUAUUUAAACUAUUUAUUUAAUAUAAUUAUUAAAUAAAUUUAAUAUCAUUAAUAAUAAAUUAAUAAUUAUUAAUAUUAAAGUAUUAAUGAACUUAUCCUUUAAAUAUUAAAAGUUAUAUUUUAUAACUUAAAAUAUCUUUAAACACUUUAUUUUCAUUUAAAAUGAUUAUUAUAAUAUUAAAAUCAUUUUUAAACUAAAUUAUUUAAUAUAAUUAUUAAAUAACUUUAAUAUCAUUAAUAAUUAAUUAAUUAAUGAAAUUUACAUUUAAAUAUUAAAAUUUAUAUUUUUAAAUACCUUAUUAUUAUUUAAAAUGAUUUUUAAUAUAAUAAAAUCAUUUUUAAUUAAUUUAUUUAAUUCAUUUAGUAAAUAACUUAAUAUUCAUUAAUAUUAAUUUAUUAAUGAAAUUUAUCACAAAAUAUUAAAAGUCAUUAAAAAUAACUUAAAAAUAUUUUCUUAUAUCAUAAUAUAAUUUUAAAUGAUUUUUCAAAUAUAAAAAUCAUUUUAAAUGAUUUAUUUAAUAUAAUAAUUAAAUAAAUUAAAUACUUUUAAUAUUUCAAAAAUAUUAAAUAUUUAUGAAAUAUAUUAAAAAUAAUUAAAAACUAAUUUUCAGAAUUUAAAAUAAUUUUUAAUAAUUUAUUUUGUAAUUUUAAUAAUUAAAAACUAUUUUUUUCUAUUUAUUGAAUUAAAUUAAUUAAUUUUUGGAAAUUAAAUUAAUUUAAUUAUUUUGUCUGUCGCUAAAGACCACCUAUAGUGACAAAACUGUCGCUAUAGAGGUUCUUCAUGUUCUUCAUGCAAACCCAGAUAUUCAUACUCAGUUUCGAGGGUGCUACUUUGACCAUACAUUAUGAACUGUGUAGUGUGUUUCUGGGAUAGAUAUUGAUCACAUAUUGUAGUGUUAGUGUAGAACUACAAGGGUCAUAUUACAACAUACAAGCAAGAUAUGGAAGCUUAAAUUAUCCGUCAGACCUGUUCUUCGUUUUCUGGGUUACCCAGAAAACAAGAACAACUCGACUGAUCACUUUUGGGCUUCCACAACUUGCUUUUGGUGUUAUGUUUUUGUGAUAUAUAAGCUGCAGUGUGUAGUCAGUAUGUACAUAAAGAGAUCUAACAUAAAAUAUCAACAAAACAUCAACAGAAGCAAUAGAUCUGGACCGGUCAAUGUAUGUCAGAAACUGUGUUCAUAGGUUUUCUGGGUUACCCAGAAAACUGGACCCGUGCUCAAGAUACCAACUUUGACCAGCCACUAAGAUCGAUUCGUUUAUUUUUAAGGUGCUUUUAAGGCAUAAACAUGGACUUAAAAUACAAGACUACAAUCUAGAUUCAACAAAAUCAACAAAACAAAAAUACACUGAAUGAUCUAGCUGGUUUAAAAUGUUGUCAGGCCGGUUCUGGGCUGUUUCAGGGUUACCCAGAAACGCCCGGUCAUGGCCGGUCAACUACGUUUGACCUUGAAUAUCUUGCAAUCUAGAUCAGAUCUAAGUCUGAUUCUUGCUCCAGAUCAAAGACUACAUGUCAGACUACAUAUUUAAACCUUUAAACAACAAAAAUCAUAUAUGAACAAUGAUAUGUGGCCACUGACAUUAGUUGUCAGACCACAGUUUGAACUUUUUCCAGAUUUGGCAAAUCUUAAAAUCCGAGCCUCUAGAUGUUAUGGAUCUAACAUCUAGCAACCCAGAUCAUCAUUAGACACCUUAUAUAACAUGUUUAACAAAAAAAAAAUUAACAUCAAACAACAAAUCGUUGGACAGAUUUCUUGGCUAGGGUUUAUACCUUCUUUGAUCAAUUCUGAUUUUGGCUUCUGUUUUUGUUAUGGUUGUUCGUGGAACUUGGUUCUUGACUGAUAUUAUGAAAUAAUUUCCGAGGUUUGGGGCUUGAGAGAAAAGGUUUGAGUGUUGGACAAAAAUAAGUGAACAAAUGACACUUUCUCUCUCUCAAAUCUAUUUAUAGUAGUGCUAGAUACAUGUAAUGGCUGAGAUAGAGACUUGUUGCUGUCAUUUUUAAGCACAUGGGGUGGUUGAAGUGGUUCACCAACUAAACCUAAUGUCAAAACCUAUAUAUUAGCCUCAAUAAUGCAAGGGGUAUAAUGGUCUUUUGUAUUUUCCAUUUGAUGGCAUUCUUGUCAUUUGGCAAACCCUUAGGGUUUGACCCUUAGGAUUUAACCCUAAGGUUUAGCACAAAUCAAUAAUAGGAUUUAGCAAUUAGGGUUUGCACAAAAUAAAAUUAAAUAAAAAUUAAAUAACUUCUAGUUUCUAAAAUUUGAAAUUAGGGUUUCAUAAUUAUGAUUAAUUUUCUAAUUACUUUAUACAGGAAUAUUAGGGUUUAAAAUCGCUAAUUAUAAUUAACUUUGCUACUUUAGGAAUUAGAGUUUAAAAUUAGUAAUUAGUUUAUAUAAUUUCUAAUUAGGGAUACUAAUUUUAGAAAUUAGGGUUUCUAGAAAUUAAUAUCUCUAAAUUUUAAUUAGGGUUAACCUAAUUAAUCAUGAAAUCACAUAACACAAUUAUAUAAUAAACUCGAACUCAUGAUUGAGUUUUAAGUUAGGGUUUUCUCAUUUCAAAAAUUAGGGUUUUCGAAAUAUUAAUUAGGGUUUCUAGAUUUUUUAUUAGGGUUUACCUAAUUAAUACAUUUAAUACACGACAUAAAUUAUAUAACACACUUAUAAAACAAUCUUGUACUCUAAUUUGGAUCUCAAAUUAGGGUUUAACAUUAUUACUAGGGUUUGGUCAUAAUACACCGUAAUUGACCAACCAUUAUCAAUACGGACAUACAGUACAUAUUCAUAGCACUGAAAAAUCAAAAUAUAAUUAAUAUUAUAUUAUUAUUCUCAUACCUUGACAAUAAUCCAAAAUUAGGGUUUGGAUUCCAUAUCUGAUUUAUUCUUCAUAUUUAACCUUAAUAAUUAAGGUAAAAUAAUUAACUUAAUAAUUUGUACUAAAAUUCAUAUAAUAAAAUAAUUAUUAUAAUUAUUCUAAAAAUCACUUCAUAUAUUAUUUAAAUAAUAUAUGAUUAUAUUUUUAUGGAAAAUAAUUAAUAAAAACAUUUCUAUCUUAAAAUUAAUCAAUAAUUCUAAAAUAUACUUUAUAAUAAUCAAUAAUUCUAAAAUAAAUUUAUUUGUAAAUAUUUAUGUAAUAAAUAUAUUUUUAUUUACCACAUAAAUACAUAUACACAUUAUCUUGUACAAAUCCUCAUCCUUAAAAUAUAUAAAAAAAAUUAUACGCAAAAUUUCUUAUUUAUUUAAAUAGAAAAUAUCGGGUUGUUACAGAUAGGGCUUUGCAUGAUGCUCUAUGUAUAGUUAAGAGGACCCUGGAAUCGAAUACGGUAAAUCGUAGCCUCAUUUGUCUUUUUAGUUUUUAUCAAAUAUUACAUCCUUCUGGAAUUAAUAGUCCUAAUUUGUUAGCUACUUAUAUGUUGGUUCUACUUAUUUGCUUCCUCCGCUCCCCUCCCUCGAGUAUUAAGAUUUUCAUAUGUCACACUUUGACAUAGUUUUUUUUAAUAAAUUUUAGUCUUUGAAGAUAAAAGAUUAAAAAAAAUUCAUCUAUGUCUAAGUGUUCUAAUACAAGCUUUAAUAUUUAAAUAAGUAAAGGAGAACUCUUUUGAAAACAAGGAACAUUUUACAUUGUAAUACAUGUUGGUAGUUGUUUCUUACUUUGAUCUGGGCAUUGUCUGUAAAUAAGUUCAAUCGUAGAAUCAUUUACAAGUAAAUUUAUGUUCAAAGUUCUGAUGAACAGAGCGAAAGAUAAUGGCUUAUUUAGACUUGGUGGGGGAGGUAAAUGCAUGGUGCAACUAUCCUAAAAAAUAAAAAUAUUUUCUUUUCUUAUUGGCGCAUGGUGCUUAUUAAAAAGUGUCCCAAAGUUGAACAUGCUGACCCUGAUGCUACAGGACAUGCAACACAUGAGCAGGUAACGUAGUAGUAAAAUAUUCUGUUUUAUGAUUCCUUAUAGUAUCAAACUAUUUUAGCUUUAUUAGAGACAUGGGAUUAUGUGUCAAGGUUUUGCGUUAAUGAGGUCAGAACAUGAUAUUAAUCAGUGCAUUUUAGUUAUUGUACUGAUAUUAUGAUUUCUUUGAAUAAAGGGGCCAGUUGCAUUUACUGAUAUAAGGACCUCUUUUUAUUUUUCAUUUUUAAAAUGUGUUGUCCUCAAAUCACUGUGAUUGUAAUUUUCUUGAGUUGCCUAAGAAAAAGUGCAAUGAUUAAAAAUUUUGCGUGAUAAACUCAGUUGGUUGGAACUAUUACUUGAAGUGCAUUAAAUUUCCCUUUCGUCUCUUUGUUUUUUCGUUCUCUCGCGCACAUGUUUGGGGAUGGGGGAACUAUAUAUGUUUAUGACAUGGAACCAUUUUAUAUGUCAUGUAUUUCUAUAGUAUGAAUUUGAAGUGCUAAUGGAGUUGCUUAACUAUGUAGGCCCAACCAGCAAGUUCUUUGCCACCUUCAGUGCAACCUGUAACAGCUUCUCAAGUGCGUGCAUCAACAUAUAUAGUUCCCCAAUAUUAUUCAGUAGCAGCUCCUUUUGGUUCCAUUUGUACAAGUAGUUUUUUUAAUGAAUGGGUUUGGUGGUUAAAUUUAGGAGGAUUAACAACUAGAUUCGGUAAAAAAAANNNNNNNNNNNNNNNNNNNNNNNNNNNNNNNNNNNNNNNNNNNNNNNNNNNNNNNNNNNNNNNNNNNNNNNNNNNNNNNNNNNNNNNNNNNNNNNNNNNNNNNNNNNNNNNNNNNNNNNNNNNNNNNNNNNNNNNNNNNNNNNNNNNNNNNNNNNNNNNNNNNNNNNNNNNNNNNNNNNNNNNNNNNNNNNNNNNNNNNNNNNNNNNNNNNNNNNNNNNNNNNNNNNNNNNNNNNNNNNNNNNNNNNNNNNNNNNNNNNNNNNNNNNNNNNNNNNNNNNNNNNNNNNNNNNNNNNNNNNNNNNNNNNNNNNNNNNNNNNNNNNNNNNNNNNNNNNNNNNNNNNNNNNNNNNNNNNNNNNNNNNNNNNNNNNNNNNNNNNNNNNNNNNNNNNNNNNNNNNNNNNNNNNNNNNNNNNNNNNNNNNNNNNNNNNNNNNNNNNNNNNNNNNNNNNNNNNNNNNNNNNNNNNNNNNNNNNNNNNNNNNNNNNNNNNNNNNNNNNNNNNNNNNNNNNNNNNNNNNNNNNNNNNNNNNNNNNNNNNNNNNNNNNNNNNNNNNNNNNNNNNNNNNNNNNNNNNNNNNNNNNNNNNNNNNNNNNNNNNNNNNNNNNNNNNNNNNNNNNNNNNNNNNNNNNNNNNNNNNNNNNNNNNNNNNNNNNNNNNNNNNNNNNNNNNNNNNNNNNNNNNNNNNNNNNNNNNNNNNNNNNNNNNNNNNNNNNNNNNNNNNNNNNNNNNNNNNNNNNNNNNNNNNNNNNNNNNNNNNNNNNNNNNNNNNNNNNNNNNNNNNNNNNNNNNNNNNNNNNNNNNNNNNNNNNNNNNNNNNNNNNNNNNNNNNNNNNNNNNNNNNNNNNNNNNNNNNNNNNNNNNNNNNNNNNNNNNNNNNNNNNNNNNNNNNNNNNNNNNNNNNNNNNNNNNNNNNNNNNNNNNNNNNNNNNNNNNNNNNNNNNNNNNNNNNNNNNNNNNNNNNNNNNNNNNNNNNNNNNNNNNNNNNNNNNNNNNNNNNNNNNNNNNNNNNNNNNNNNNNNNNNNNNNNNNNNNNNNNNNNNNNNNNNNNNNNNNNNNNNNNNNNNNNNNNNNNNNNNNNNNNNNNNNNNNNNNNNNNNNNNNNNNNNNNNNNNNNNNNNNNNNNNNNNNNNNNNNNNNNNNNNNNNNNNNNNNNNNNNNNNNNNNNNNNNNNNNNNNNNNNNNNNNNNNNNNNNNNNNNNNAAAAUAGUUUGAGUUAUUAUAAAUAACUUUUAUAUUUUGGCAAUGGUUUCAUUAAUAAUUUAAUAUUAAUUAAUUAUUAAUGAUAAUAGAAUUGUUUGAUAAAUCAUUUAAUUAUGAUUCCGAUGUUUGAAAAUGCAUGAUAAAAUAUCAUAAAAGCUUUAAAAUUAUUUUUAAGUCAUUUAAAAAUAAAAUGACUGAUGUUAAGAUACAGAAUAAGAGUCUUAGACUCAGUAAUUACCCGAUAAAGUUGUCGGUACACCGACAAAUGUUAGACCUUAUAAAAGAAAGAAAAGGCUACUGUAAGAACAUGGAUGAGAUAUUUGAAAAAUGUAUAGAAUAUGAACUAAAAGUAUGAUCACUGCGAUUAUGUGAUGACGUGAUUAGACUAUGUGCUGACUGUAAUAUAUAGUACUAUGUGUUAUGAUAUAUUGUUCUAAUUGAACGAAUGAUCUGAUUAUUGAUAGGUUGUGAAAAAAAGAUAAAACCUAAGUUGAGAUUUGUAAUCAGCGAAUUAGGCAAGUAUCCUACCUUUGCAUUUUCUUUAUGCAAUGGACAUGAGUAAGAGAGUUUCAGAAUUCUUUUCUAUUCCUGUACAGAUUAUGUACGCUUUGAUUAUCAACAUGUUAGCUCAGAUAUAUAUUCUGCUAAGUUGAUUUCUAAAUGGUUAUACAAGUGUCCCCACUUGGAUAAUCAUGACAUUUAUUCACAUGUUGAUACACCUUUGUCAAUUACCCGUAUAUAUAU